AAAAUGGUCAUUAAAUGAACGUAGACGUUAAGAGUUAUUUUUGUUUGUUUGUUUGCUAAAUUAUAAUCGUCUUUGUUUGAACGUUCUUCGACGCCGGUGAAAGACGACAACUUCUGUCUUGUAAUUAUCUAAAACGUCGUCGUGCUCAAUCAACCACCACAUGUCACCCGUUUACGCUGACCUUAUUGCUUGCUCUACCGUUCUUGUUUCCUUUUAUUGUCAAAAUUGAAAAUGUGGAUUUUGAUGUUUUUUGUAUUUUUAUGUCUGGAAAAAAAGUGACAUGUUCGAGACAAUUUUUUCGAGGCAGUAUUAAAUUUAGUUUAAAUCAAGUAACGUAUUAAUGUUUAGUAAGUCUAAGAUAGAGUUGAAAAUCAUAUAUUUUUAAUCCAACGCCUCUGUCUCGUGGGUCUCAAUGGCAUGUGCCUCUGUGCGUGCUUCACCACUCAUGGUU